UGAUAUAGAAACAUGGAAAUUUAAUUGAGGAGGUCUUUCCCAGUACAAACAAUACCUUCAGACUUCAUCCAAGAUUCUGAUGAAAGUAUGUUUACAGGCAUCAGACUUGUCACUUCUGGGCAUGCUGGUAGUGGUACUUGCAUGAGACGCCAUUAGUGCUUAGGGAGAAGUGAUGGUGAGGGAGAGAGAUGAAGGUCAGAGAUCUGGAAUACAGAGGAAAAUUGUCUAAUCAGAAAUCACAGCUCCCAUCAGGCACAGACAAUAGAUGGUAAACUGGCUUCAGAACUAUUCAGGCAUCAAGGGAGACAAAUCAACAGACCUCAGGAACAGACUUCCAGAUCUUAGGUCUUCUCAUACCACUGGACAGGUAAACAUGCCUGAAGUGAUUGUGCAGAACACUUCAUAAAAAGAAAGAAAUGAGGUAAUCUGUCCUAAUUGGGUCUUGUCCUGAAUGCAUUGUCAAGUCCUCCUAUGAAAUAAGUUUUCUUUCCUUCCCCUUAUACUUCUCUUUAUCAUUAGCUAUUGUAACUAAAUGUUGUUUCUUUUAUAAAGCCAAGUAUUCCUUCGAAUCUGGCUGAGCCUUUGACCACAAUUACAUUGCAGCAAUGAGUUCUACUUAAGGUUUCUCCCUCAAUUUUUCUUUAAUCACCAAAAAUACUUUUUUUUUUUGAAAAAGAAAAGUUUGCAUUUUUAAACAGCUUUUUCAUUUAAGAAAAAUGGAUUAAAAAUUCCAGGAUAGACUUCUUUUCUAUCUUUUCAAAUGAACUCACAUUCAGGAAAGGCUUAGUUUGGAAGAUGUCAUACAGAAAGAUAAAUGUUUGAAGAGCUAUUGCUCUUUUUAUUAGAACCUUAGGUUGUUAGAGAAGCAAACAAAAAUAAAUCACCAAAGACAGAGCUUGCUUGUUGAAGACCUCAUCAUCAUCCAAGUUGCCAAACUGGGACAGGAGUGAAAAAUAUUGCCCCAUCACUGUUGCAUCCAAUUCAAGGUCAGUGAUCUUCAAAGGAAUUGCAAUAAUAAGGAAAACUACCUCAAAGAAAGGAAAUUGGGCAACAGAGGAUACAGAAAGAUUGGAAGCUCCAUAUCUGAUAGACCUAUGCAUUUUCUAAUUCAUUAUCCUCUCUUUCAGCAAGGCCCAUUCCAGCCAUAUCAGAAGAUGGUUCAAGAAACUUUACAGCAGGGUAAUCUAUAGAAAAAUGUGCCUGCACAGAGUUUAUGGCCCUUAUUCUAUAAAGCUUGCUUUCUGCUGUUCUACCUGUUACACUGGAUACAUAUGCAUGCGUGCACGCACAAAACCCCCUCUAGGUGUUUUGGCUUGCAGUACACUAUUGGGUAUUUUUCAGGCUUUUUGGAAGGCAGCUAAGCUGCUGACCUGUUUGCUCCUGUGCAGCAUAAAAUCCUCAGGCUAAUAAUAAACACACUGUUGAAAAGA